ensembl:lncRNA
ACCACUGACUUUUAGUUAAGACUGUACCUUCUCCAAAAUGAGUAUUAUGUACCUGAUGGUGGUGUUGUGAGGAUUAAAUGAGAUAAUGCAUGCAAAACACUAAGCACAACGUCUGGGGCAGAAUAAAACUUCGGAAACGGUAGCUAUUAUUUUAGCAGGCCCCAAACCCUCAUUCUGAAGGUGCAAAAAUUAAGCCUCAAGAGAACUGACUUCCUAAUACUCGAAUAUCCAAGUUAUUGUCCUGCAUAAGCAGCUUAGCUGCCUGUGUUGGUUUGGUGUAUUGGCAGGGCCUGAGGGCAUAUUUCUGCAGGAUUCUUGUCUGCUGGGAAUUGGGGGAAUAUGGUUGAACCCUGUGGCGUUAGAGGCUAAUUCGAUACCAAUGGGGGUUCGAGACAGUUGUGUGCUAACAAUAUCCAUCACCAAGGGAAGCCAUUCGUCUAUCUCAAAACACCCGGAAGGAGCAAGACCCUUAGUACAGCAGGUUGUUAGGGAACCGGCGACCGGGACGAGGCUAGUAGUAGGACACGGGGUUGAGCUCAAAUCCUGCUUUGGUCAGCUUCAAAAAGGGACGAGCACUUAAGAGGGCUGAAGAUAACGGGGCUCUAGGAACAGACUAGGUCACCCCACCUCCCAACGCCUUUCCCGGAGGGGGCCCGCCAUGCGUUUUCGCGUUCGGGAGAGACCGAUUUCUCGUUCCUUAGUGGCGCUUACUCCCCGCCCUGUAGGUAGGGAGGGAGUCAAAACCUCGCCUCUUCGCUCCUGAGGGCCGGAAGAGCUUGGACCUUCCCGGUGCGCGCCACGCCGCGGCUGGAAGGCGGGAGGCCGGCGCGCAGCCCACGCGCGCCCCGCGUUCGCCCGCUCUAAAAUGGCGGCGGAGGCAGCUCGCUCACGCCCCGCCGCCCGCGCUCCUCCGAGUCGUGGCCCCGGGAGGCGGGAGUGGGCCGGAAUGCGCGAGGGCGGCGUGGACCCUCCAAUCCAGAGCUUUCCCCACCGCCCCGGCACGCUAGAAGUCAGCAGGCGACCGCUACCGGGAAUACAGCCGGCGCCUCAGAAGCGGGAGGGUCUCCCGCUCUGAGGCUUCUUGGCACAAUGCAGGCUGCUGCGACUGGUAGCUCUCGUUUCACAGAAAGUAUCCCUCGCGCUACGGCCCUAAAUUUGUCCUCCAGCCUCGCUAGGGCGUGUAGUAGUGUACCUCCGAGGGGAAUCUGGGGGUAACCUCAGCCCCUGCCAAACCUAGCGCAUCUCUUUGGAAUCCUUUCUCGGAAACCUGCUCUCGCUCCUCCCGGUAACUCGGUUCGGGGGUUGUCCGUCACGGAACUGAGCCCGCCCCUUCCGGCUGCUAGCCGGCCCGCCUCCUCCUCUCUUCCCUCCCCC